AGCCAGACUCCUACGGGAGGCAGCAGUGGGGAAUAUUGCACAAUGGGGGAAACCCUGAUGCAGCGACGCCGCGUGAGUGAAGAAGUAAUUCGUUAUGUAAAGCUCUAUCAGCAGGGAAGAAAAUGACGGUACCUGAGUAAGAAGCCCGGCUAACUACGUGCCAGCAGCCGCGGUAAUACGUAGGGGGCAAGCGUUAUCCGGAUUUACUGGGUGUAAAGGGAGCGCAGGCGGCGCGCCAAGUCUGAUGUGAAACCCCGGGGCUCAACCCCGGGCAUGCAUUGGAAACUGGCAGGCUGGAGUGCCGGAGAGGUAAGCGGAAUUCCUAGUGUAGCGGUGAAAUGCGUAGAUAUUAGGAGGAACACCAGUGGCGAAGGCGACUUUCUGGACUGUACCUGACGCUGAGGCGCGAAAGCGUGGGUAGCGAACGGGAUUAGAUACCCCCGUA
rnacentral:rRNA from 1 species